ACUGCACGUUCCUAUGGAAACCGAGCCUGCGCAGGUGGUUCAGAGGAGGCUCGAACUGUUGGCAAAUUUGGAAGUUUUUUAAGAUGCUUAUUUAUUUUAUUAUAUUUGUUGGUAGACUUGGCUCGGCUGUUAAAGACCUUGUUUUUGUGUCCCAGUGGGGGGUGAAAAGACGUUUUGUGAAAGGAACAAUGUGGAAACUGACUUCGGAGGAGCCAAGUGUCUUACCCAUAGUUUCCUAGCUGGGGCCAACCACUGCCACAGGACUGAGGGAAUGGUUACAUAAAUCUGCGGAGCCCAGUGCAAAAUGAAAAUCUGUUCCUCAAAGCCCUGCUGUUUGAUUCCCUGUUACCACUCCACUGAAACUGUGUUUGUCACUGUUACCAGUGACCUCCCAGGUGCUCACUAUACUUUUGAUUGUUCACAGUAUGAGAUAUCACCCCUUUCUGUUGCCGGGAUUGAGUCACCUGAAUGUGUUGGCUGAGCCAGUGACCCCCUUCCUCUUUGUCUUCUCACAUUUAUCAUUGUCUAAGCUAGAAGCCUUGCCAAAUAGAUGGACUAUGUAGAGGUUGCUUCAUGCUAGACUUUUUCAUACCUUACCUUGGUCAUGUGAAUACUAUUGAUUCAAGAGAGAAUUACCCAGCCCCACUGGUGAUAGUGCUGGACUUGAGAUCUGCCUGUGUUCAUGUCUGUAACAACUACUUUAGACCGCAGGGAAGUUCCAAGCAAGGGCCAGGGUAUGGGAGAGGUCAGCUCUGGAUGCAAGAAAUGAGGGAAGGGGCAAGAAUUUUUCUGGAGAAAAUUUAAAAUUAUUUACAAUUCUGACUAAAGUCAACCUGCUUCUAUUAUCACCAUGCACUAGAAAUGCUAAAAAAAAAAAAAAAAAAAGUGAUAAAACUCUCCUCACUGAACAAAUAUUUUGUCUGUUCUAAAUAAUUACCACAGUUUUACUAUUAAGUGUAAAAAAAUGUAGACGUAAGCUUCAAAAUUACCACACUUUUAUUAACUUUAAUAAACAUAUCUUAUAUGAAAGUAAGUUGGAGAACUGCCAGGUAUGUAAUUGGCCUCUGAUACACAUAGUCUCAGAUACCUAUUCGGUAGUAAGUUUGUGAUUGUUUGGAAUCAGCUGAGCACACUUUUCAACACAGCUGAUUUGCAGUCUCUGUGAUACUAUAUAUUCCCACAUUUAAUAGCUGUUUGGAGUAAAUGAUAGAAUAAUAGCUGUGAAUUUUGUAGUUCUCUAUUUUUUUUCUGAUGUGAA